GGAGGGCGCGCGGGCACCCGGGGGGCCGCCGGUUGCAGGGCGCAGCCGCUGGGUGGAGGUUUGCUCGUGUGCCGCCCUCACCCGGACCUGCAGGUCGGCAGUGUGACCUGGGGGCGGGUCCCUGAGGCCUUGUGCUCGCGGAGGGUCGCACGGGGAGGAAGGCGUUGCCUCUGGCCGGCCUGGCCCUGACCGGCCCCCUGCCCUGCAGGCCAGCGGAGCCUGCACCACCGCGGAGAUGCCCUGGAGACACUGGUCCUUCUGAACCCUUCGGACAAGUCCCUGUGUGACGAGGUAGGCGGGAGCAGCCGUGGCGGUGCGGUCCCCUGGCCCCUCCCGGCCCGGUCCUCUGCAGCCUGGAAUGUCUCCAGAUGCCCAGCACUGGCGCCGUCUUCGUGGUUGCCGCCCCAGCUGUGUCCCAGACCUUGGCGGGGAGGUGGGUGUUUUCAGGGGGGCCUAGCACCUCCAGCCCGGGGCCAUGGAGGUCUGAAGGGGGGUGGGAUCCCAGUCCCGCUUGUGUCCUGUGGCUUCUGGCCCUGCUGGCAGUUCUGCAUCAGGAGCAGGAAGCGGGCAGAGCCCUGGGGCAUCCCGCUGGGGGUGCCCCCUGUGCUGAGCCCUUGCACUCCUCGAGGGGCUCUCAGGCCAGAGGGGGAGCAGAGCCAGGCACAGAGGGCCUGGCCAUCACGUUAGGACGGGGCCCCAGGGCGCCGGAAAGGGCAGGUAGCCCCGUGGAGCCCAGCGCCUCCUCUCCUACUGGCGAUGGGUGUGGCUGGGGGCCAGGGAGUGUCCAGUGCUGGCCGCAUGGCAUAGACCUUUCGCGCUGUCCCCAGCUCCGGAACCUUCUGCUGGUGCCUGCUCCCCACAAGCUGCUGGUGCUGGCUGGGCCCUGCUUGGAGGAGACUGGGGAGCUGCUGCUGCAGACGGGGGGGUUCUCAUCCCACCACUUCCUGCAGGUGCUGGAGGACAGGGAGAUCCAGGACCUGCUGAGGCGCACUCCGGCCCCGGCUGAGCCGCCCACGCUCACGCUCGGCUGCCCGCCCUUCGGGGACUGGACGCAGCUGGGCGCCACUGAGCCGGACCUGCUCGGGCAUCGGCUGCGGCUCAACCCUGCCGCGCGGCUGCCGGCCUCCGCCGGGCUGCAGGAGCUCCUGGACUACCUGGCCGGGUCCCUGGAGCUCCCGUCCCCCUUCGACCUGUUGGAGCCGCCGUCCUCCGGAGACUUUCUCAAGCUCGACCCGCCGUGCUGCUACAUCUUCCCCGGGGGCCUUGGGGACGCCGCCUUCUUCGCGGUCAGCGACUUCACUGUGCUGGUGAACGGAGGCUCCAACCCCAAGGCCACCUUCUGGAAACUGGUGCGCCACGUGGACCGCGUGGACGCCGUGCUGGUGACGCACGCGGGGGCCGACAGCCUCCCCGGCGUCAACAGCCUGCUGCGGCGCAAGGUGGCUGAGCGCGAGGAGGCGGCGGCCGGG
rnacentral:lncRNA from 1 species